UACGUAGGGUGCGAGCGUUGUCCGGAAUUAUUGGGCGUAAAGAGCUUGUAGGCGGUUUGUCGCGUCUGCCGUGAAAGCCCAAGGCUUAACCCUGGGUCUGCGGUGGGUACGGGCAGACUAGAGUGUGGUAGGGGAGACUGGAAUUCCUGGUGUAGCGGUGAAAUGCGCAGAUAUCAGGAGGAACACCGAUGGCGAAGGCAGGUCUCUGGGCCACUACUGACGCUGAGAAGCGAAAGCAUGGGGAGCAAACAGG
rnacentral:rRNA from 1 species